CUUUUGUUAGGUGAAAAGCUUGGUUCUACAUGAGCCACGUAGUAAACCUAAUUUCCACUUACGUGUACGGCUAAAACUCUCUCUUCAGCUGAUCAGAUUAUUGCACUUGGGAAAAAGAAUUCAUUUUCAGAGACAAAGAACAACAUGCACAGUUCAAAAGAUGAAAGGAAGAAGAUAAAGAACACAUACAAGUACGUGGUUUAGAAAGGAUGCGUACAUCCACGGGAAGAACUUCUUUUCUUUCUUGAGAUUUCCUUUGUACAAUAGUUUUUUUUUUUUUUUAUAAGAGAUGUGUGAUUAUUUCUAUCCGAUGUAUGUAAUAGAUCUGAUCUUUAGGUAUUUAUAGUACAUACCUUUUGUCAGUUUUUGUCAGUUACAGUAAGAAAAGAAACGUUGUUAAGUAAAACUCUAAACUAGCUGUUUUAUGUAUUGGAGUCAUCUUUAUAAUAUGUUUUUAUUAGAGAAUAAAAUUUGUGCUUAAUGUCA